UACGAAGGGGGCUAGCGUUGCUCGGAAUCACUGGGCGUAAAGCGCACGUAGGCGGCUUGUUAAGUCAGGGGUGAAAUCCUGGAGCUCAACACCAGAACUGCCUUUGAUACUGGCGAGCUUGAGUCCGGGAGAGGUGAGUGGAACUGCGAGUGUAGAGGUGAAAUUCGUAGAUAUUCGCAAGAACACCAGUGGCGAAGGCGGCUCACUGGCCCGGUACUGACGCUGAGGUGCGAAAGCGUGGGGAGCAAACAGG
rnacentral:rRNA from 1 species